ensembl:lncRNA
AGCAGCACAAGUCCUGUGUGCCACACACAGCCUGCAGCCCCGGGGAAUGCGGCCCAUGGGCACCCAUCCCUGUUGGGAGGCACAGAGAGGUGCUGGAGGAGAUUCCUAAGAGUUACAGCACUUCAGACUGAGCGCCAGGAGAGCCCCUCCACAAGUGGGAGCUCACUCACAAACAGAGCAAUGCGGGGCUCAUAGAGACGGCAGCAGGAUGGGUGCUUCAGACUGAGCCACGCCGCUCCAGAGGGAACGGAGCUGCUGUGAAUUACCAGGAAAGGAGCAGAGAAUGGAACAGCGCCUCCUGAGGUGUCACAUCUUAUUGUCCCACAUCGUGAGAAAUCGGACAAAUACAGGAAUGAUGAAGCACGGGAAGGACUGAGUGGGCUCCACAGGCUGGAAGAGGCAACCCAGAGGUGGAAGACGCAGUCUGGAAGAGGUGACCAAGGCGUGGAGGAUGCAGUGGUUGGCGGUGGGGACACGGUCGUGUGCUCAGCACAAGGACCAGGGCUAUGGCAGAAGCCAUUGGGUUGAAGGAAGUAUUUUCUGGGCAGUGGAGCUGAGGGACCCCCUGCUGCAGGAGAAGGCCAGAAGUCUGUAUUGGCUCAAAAAGCCAUUGCAGUAAGCCACAGAGGGAAACUCGUCAAAGAUUCCUGCAGAAUUACAAGGCAGAGCUACGUGCCAGGAGCCACCAGAGCCACAGCUCGGGCUGCAGAGCAUAUACCAACCGAGUGCUGCUGUAUUCUGCUGCUGUGCUCUUAUGCUGCUCCUUGCACACGUGCGCUUGGCUGGCACUAGUGCUGGACGGGGCACACACGGACCCCCCCUGCUGAUGGCACCAGUCUGUGCCACAGGUUCUGGCGGGGCCAGGACCGGUAUGGUGCCGGCUGUCAGAAGAUGGUGGGCAGGAGGUCCAAAAGGAGCUGGUGCCAUUCCCUGCCCCAGCCCAUUGGGUGAGCCAGGAGGCUCCAGAUGGCUUCCCUGGGCUCCGACUGUGCUCCCAUAGGAAGCUGGAUUUCCAAAAAAGAAGCUGAAUGAAAACAGGACACUGUGUAAGGAGAGAUCUGCAUACAUUUGCAUAGUUAUGAGCUAGUUGCAUAACGGAAUGCUGCUGAACAGCAUCUGAACACUCUUUGGAGACACGGGGGCAACAGGGGAAGGAAAGGGCUGGGUGGACAGGAGGUGCUGCCCAGUUCCUUUGGGAGCAUCACACCACAGUGGAGCGCUGGGGAGCUUCUCUGUUUGAUGGGAGAAGAUUGGGUUUGGGAGCAGAAGCACCCAAUUGCUGUGCCCAGGGGUCACAGCCACAAGCAGGGAAGGGGCAGCGUACCCACAGCAUGGGCAGCUUUCCCUGCUCUGAUGGCAUUCCCUGCCAUGGGGGCCAUAGACCCCCUGGGUGUGCCCCCCGGUGUGGGAUUUAGAGCCCACCCACCCCGUUGCCUCCAGUAGGGCACACCAACUCGCCCCGACAAAGCCAACACGGGCAGCAUGCCUGCUCCCUGCCCCACGCACAUCUGCAAAAUGGGGUGGGCAUCCCCUGCCUCUGCUCCAGGGGUCGUUCCAGCCCCCCACCCCCACCCCCCAGCAGCCCCCAGGCUUUCAGCCAUUCGGUACCAAUGUCCUUUGUAUGCAGAGUCCAUCCAUCGCUUGGAGCAGAUCUCCUGCUGCUCUGCUGCUGGGUGCUGAUAAACCACCCCGAGCAAUCUUAUCGCCCGUUCCAUGCGCUAUCACUCCGUGCUGCUCCCACCUCUGCUCUGCAUUCCUUCAGCCGCUCUCCUCUGCUCCUUUCCUAUAUGAGUGUUUUUCAGCAGGGCUGCUCGAUGUCUGUGAGCUGUGCUCUGUUCGGCCUGGCACUGCCUCUCCUGCACACACAUCCCAGCAGAGUUAACCCACCACGUCUCUGGGGCUGCAGUCCGCAUUCAUCCCGGGGCUGCUGGUUGCAUUUCCCAGCCCAGGCUCCUAACGCAUGGCACAAACACUCAUUCGGAGCUGCUGACUGCUGAAAGAAGGCAACGCAGAGGAUGUUUGUCCACUCCCACAGCCUGCCUGCCACCUGGACUGACCCUUACUCUGUGACAAAGUGCAACUUGUGCAAAAACCACACGGCGUCACCGCGUCCCAACCCCAUCCAUCACACGGAGAAAAACAAAUGGAAAGCAAAGGGCCCGGAGAAGCCAGGAAGGAGGGAGGGGGGGGGCGGGGGGUCCGACCCCAACCUCUGUGCUGCCCACAUUGGCACUGCUGGAGCCCCGGAACAGAAGGGUUGGUCCCAGCUGCAGCCCUGCAUUUCGCUGCCAAUCCAGAGCCGGUGGAGCGCUCUGCAGAGGGCUGCAUGCAAACCAACCCUGGGAGGGGCUCACAGAUGGCCUCAAAUUGGGUCAGUUUAAAUGCAGAGAGAGCCCGAAUGGUACCAAAUCGCUGAAUGGCAGAGGGAGGUGGGGCGGACCUCCAGGGCUCACCUGAACUACAGGCUGCAGCUCAAGGGUGGGCGCAGUUAUCAGUUAUCCUUGGGGCAGCAGUGUCCAAAACGUCCCACCGACCCGGACCUGAGACGAGCAGGACAGGCAGGAAAUGAAAGGCACUCAGCUGAUGCUUGAAUGUGGAUGGGCAGAACAAUGGAGGCUCUACUGUGUGUCUGAGUGGGGAGGUGAUGGAACAGCUGCCCAGAGAGGCUGUGGAUGCCCCGUCCAUCCCUGGACGUGUUGAAGGCCACCUAUAUAUAUAUGUAU